CACGGACCUCAGGGGGCGGAGCUACACGGGACAAGAGCAACUGCUACAGAUCCAUCCUUCCUGCCACAGCCAGCCAGCCAGAUAAGUUAAUGGAAAAAUUACAGGUCAGAUCCAGAGAGAGCUGACACCGAAGUUGCAAAAGAAAUCAGGUAUGACCGACAUCAGCACCACCUUCACUACAUACACAGCUGUAUCACAGGUAUUCAACAACAUUCAACUAUCGACAUAGGAAUGAGGGGAGUUGCAGAGGCAUAAGAAAAAGGAAUGCAGUGUGAAUAGAAGAAACUAUCUGUCCACCAUAGAAGGACCAGGAGACAGUAGAAUAUUUGAUGCUGAUGUCGUCGCCAUGGCCACCCGACUGGCAGCCGUGACGUCACUUCCGCAUCAGCUGAAGUGCAUCGGGACGCCAGACAGGAAGUCAGAACGGCGUGGCCAGCAGUGAUCGCCGGGGGGGGAAUCCGUUG